rnacentral:rRNA from 1 species
AUACGUAGGGUGCAAGCGUUAAUCGGAAUUACUGGGCGUAAAGCGUGCGCAGGCGGUUUUGUAAGACAGUGGUGAAAUCCCCGGGCUCAACCUGGGAACUGCCAUUGUGACUGCAAGGCUGGAGUGCGGCAGAGGGGGAUGGAAUUCCGCGUGUAGCAGUGAAAUGCGGAGAUAUGCGGAGGAACACCGAUGGCGAAGGCAAUCCCCUGGGCCUGCACUGACGCUCAUGCACGAAAGCGUGGGGAGCAAACAGGAUUAGAUACCCUGGUAGUCCACGCCCUAAACGAUGUCAACUGGUUGUUGGGGAUUUAUUUUCUCAGUAACGAAGCUAACGCGUGAAGUUGACCGCCUGGGGAGUACGGCCGCAGGGUUAAAACUCAAAGGAAUUGACGGG